rnacentral:rRNA from 1 species
GACGAACGCUGGCGGCGUGCUUAACACAUGCAAGUCGAACGGAAAGGCCCCUUUGGGGGUCCUCGAGUGGCGAACGGGGGAGUAAGACGGGAGUAACCUUCCCUUGACUGCGGGAUAACUUCAGGAAACUGGGGCUAAUACCGGAUAGGAAUCCUUGCUGCAUGGUGGGGGUUGGAAAGCUUCGGCGGUUGUGGAUGGACGCGCGGCUUAUCAGCUGGUUGGUGGGGUAGUGGCUUACCAAGGCUUUGACGGGUAGCCGGCCUGAGAGGGCGACCGGCCACAUUGGGACUGCGACACGGCCCAGACUCCGACGGGAGGAAGCGGCGGGGAGUGUUGCACUAUGCGCGGCAGCCUGAUGCAGCAACGCCGCGCGCGGGAUGACGGCCUUCGGGUUGUAAACCGCUUUCAGCAGGGGCGAAGCUUGUGGUGACGGUACCUGAAGAAGAAGCACCGGCUAACUACGUG